GACGAACGCUGGCGGCGUGCCUAAUACAUGCAAGUAGAACGCUGAAGGAGGAGCUUGCUUCUCUGGAUGAGUUGCGAACGGGUGAGUAACGCGUAGGUAACCUGCCUGGUAGCGGGGGAUAACUAUUGGAAACGAUAGCUAAUACCGCAUAAGAGUAGAUGUUGCAUGACAUUUGCUUAAAAGGUGCAAUUGCAUCACUACCAGAUGGACCUGCGUUGUAUUAGCUAGUUGGUGGGGUAACGGCUUACCAAGGCGACGAUACAUAGCCGACCUGAGAGGGUGAUCGGCCACACUGGGACUGAGACACGGCCCAGACUCCUACGGGAGGCAGCAGUAGGGAAUCUUCGGCAAUGGACGGAAGUCUGACCGAGCAACGCCGCGUGAGUGAAGAAGGUUUUCGGAUCGUAAAGCUCUGUUGUAAGAGAAGAACGAGUGUGAGAGUGGAUAGUUCACACUGUGACGGCAUCUUACCAGAAAGGGACGGCUAACUACGUG
rnacentral:rRNA from 1 species